AAACCAGACUCCUACGGGAGGCAGCAGUGGGGGAUAUUGCACAAUGGGGGGAACCCUGAUGCAGCGACGCCGCGUGGGUGAAGGAGCGUUUCGGCGCGUAAAGCCCUAUCGGCAGGGAAGAAGGAGGACGGUACCUGACUAAGAAGCCCCGGCUAACUACGUGCCAGCAGCCGCGGUAAUACGUAGGGGGCAAGCGUUAUCCGGAUUUACUGGGUGUAAAGGGAGCGCAGGUGGCAAGGCAAGCCAGAAGUGAAAACCCGGGGCUUAACCCCGCGGAUUGCUUUUGGAACUGUCUGGCUGGAGUGCAGGAGGGGCAGGCGGAAUUCCUGGUGUAGCGGUGAAAUGCGUAGAUAUCAGGAGGAACACCGGUGGCGAAGGCGGCCUGCUGGACUGUAACUGACACUGAGGCUCGAAAGCGUGGGGAGCAAACAGGAUUAGAUACCCGGGUACC
rnacentral:rRNA from 1 species